rnacentral:rRNA from 1 species
AAUCAACGCUGGCGGCGCGCCUAACACAUGCAAGUCGAACGAGAACGGCUUCAGCAAUGGGGCCUAGUACAGUGGCGAACGGGUGAGUAACACGUGGGUGACCUACCCUCAAGUGGGGGAUAACCCGGGGAAACCUGGGCUAAUACCGCAUGAUAUCCGCAAGGAUCAAAGGAGCAAUUCGAUCGAGGAUGGGCCCGCGGCCGAUUAGCUAGUUGGCGGGGUAACGGCCCACCAAGGCUCUGAUCGGUAGCCGGUCUGAGAGGACGCACGGCCACACUGGAACUGAAACACGGUCCAGACUCCUACGGGAGGCAGCAGUGGGGAAUCUUGCACAAUGGGGGAAACCCUGAUGCAGCGACGCCGCGUGGGUGAUGAAGCUCUUCGGAGUGUAAAGCCCUUUCGGCAGGGAAGAGAUAAGACGGUACCUGCAAAAGGAGCCCCGGCUAACUACGUGCCAGCAGCCGCAGUAAGAC